rnacentral:lncRNA from 1 species
ACAGUUUCUCCUAAACAUCCAGCCUGACUUUGACCUGCUGAUUUAGUUGCCAGGUUUCUCUCAUUACAUCAGCAUCAACCUCAAGGAAACAAGUGUAGUCAGGGUGCUCAUAGUAAGAAAAGAAUAGGCAGAAUGGUAUCCUUCCUGUAGUCUUGGCACUGAAACUGAUAUCUGAGAGAGUGGAGCUGGAGGUGCACUGGAUCCUGCUACCAGCUCAUUCUAGAUUGGAACUUGGAUGUUCACACAGCAUGUGGCAAAGCCUGCAGCAUCCUGACUCAUCCUGUAACUGCAACAUGGACUGUGGGGUAUCUGCUUUUCUGGAUCUCAAAAUAGCUACAGCUGAUUUCCCACGCACCCUACUUUAAUUCUUAUCAAGAGUUUACUUGAUGAUAUUAUCAUUAACAGUAGCUGUUUUGCUGCACCCCAGGAGGGGCCCGUGACAAAAAGUAGAAUUGUUAACAUAUUUUCAUCUGAUUUGCUUUAGCAGCAACAGCCUCGAAAGCAAGGUUAGUUGGAAUAAUGACCUUCAGUUGUGGCACUUCUUGGGAAAUUCACAAGAAAGUGGAGAGAAUGGCCUGAAGCGAACACGUUAGCUUAUUCUCAACCUCGUGCUGCCAUUACUAGAGCAGAGCUGCACCCUCCAUUUGGGAGCUGGCACCUCCCCACAGAUUUGCAUGUAAUGGAAGAGUAGUUGUGACGUUUUCUCACAGAAGGCUUUGCUUUCACCGUGCCAUUGCCUAACCCGAAUCAGAAAUGUGUCAUGUAAGGAUUCAUUUGCAUAUUUUAAAAAUUAGUGCUGCUUUUACACUGUUGCCAUGGGACAGCUAUGGCAGGAAAUGAGCAGAACACCCACAUAAUUAUUGUUGACAGAACACAGUUCCGAUUUUAUCAAGUAUGAUCCCUACGUGAUACGUUGUUAAGGCAGUCAUCAACAUCCCAAUGAAUGAAACACUGCUUUGCAAAGUAUGCAGCACCCAAAAGAAACGUACAAUUGUUACGCUUGAAAAACAGAAGUGAAACACAACUGCUUGACUGGGAUGAUAGGAGAGUCAUUAUUGCUAAGUCUCUGAAGAACAAUUAGAGUUGUUUUUUAUUAAAUUUGCGUGUUAUGAUUGACACUGAAGCUGAAUGAAUCAAUAUGUAAAUCCAGAUUACCCCGACCUAAGAAGAUGUUGAGAAAGAUGGCACUUUACAAAACAGUCUGUGGAAAAACUGCGGCGUUGAGCCAGAAACCCAAAUGUAUCAUUUUGGAAACGGCUUUGCUUUUGUUCUUUUUUUAAUCAGCUUAUCUACUAUUUAAAUUCAAUUUCAGAGGAUCGUGUAAUUAAAAAGCGGGAUAUAAUUUAUCAUUUGUAGAGAUUGCAUCCAUUAUAUAUCUAAAUAAUAGAGGUUAUUUAUAGCAGUCUUGUAACAACCUUAGAGAGUUUUACCCAUUAAUCAAUAACAAUGGAAAGAUGUCACAGUAUAAAACUGAAUCAGGUAUAACAAUAUUCCAAUUGCCAGAGUAUAAAUGGCUGAAAUACAUAAUUCUUUCUCCUUAUUGCCAUGGUAAGUUAUUUCAGUGAUUAAAAGGAAAUCUAUUUCAGGUGGGUUUUAAUGAAAAUAGUAACACAUUUGUAUGCAUUGGAUAACAAUAUGGAAUAGUCCUAGUCCCUAAACAAAGGGACUAUCAAAUAAAUAAUAACUUGUUGAAAGGUGAUGCUGCAGUAAAUGAAAAACGUCACUUUUCUUAAUUUGUAUGAAAUUAAGGAGUUCAUGAAACAUUUUUUUUAACAAAAUGAACCUACACUGUUUAUCGAUUUCCACAUGCGUGUUUUAAAAAGAGGGAAUGAGAAGGUGUGACAUAUGUAUAAAUGCAUGAAAUUGCUGAAUAGUGUUUUGCAACCUGCUGACCUGUAAAGUAAGCUGAGGCACCAAGUCUAUUUUGGUCUUUUCUGUGGAAGGCCACCUACAUAGACUCUGGAGGAAUGAAGAAUAUGUGAAGGCUGAAAGAAGCAUCUGUUCUUUAAUACCUUGGCUCAGACCGGGGUGGAUACAGGUGCAUAACAGGAGACUGGAAAACCACGGACAGACCUGAGCCCAGCACAGGAAGAGAAAAGACAGAUGCAGAGGAUUGGCAAGAGGUCACGUUUUCCAGGCUUGUAAUGGAAAGCUGGAAGAAACAGAAAAGAAGUCGGAUAUUGGGAAACGUGUGAUGAGGAGUCUUUGAAAAAGGAACAGUGCGAAGAGAUUGCUCUGCCUGGCAAAAGCUCAUUUUGAAAGAAGGCUGAAACCUCAGUGAGUUAUGAGCCUGCUGAGAAAAUACCACCUCAGGAAAGGCUGGGCAGAAGACACUAAAAUUGAAUCUUGUCUGGAGUUUUGUGUGGACAUUGCUAUUGAGGGGACUCCAAGGAGGUGUUCUGAGUGUUACAGUGCAGACAGGGAGGAGCCUGGAGAGUGAGUUCACGCUCUUUAGUUUAGAAGAAAUGUCAUAGCGAAGAGUACUGAUGAUAUGUGAUGUUGUGCUCGCCCUGGGCGCAGUAACAGUUGCAAAGAUGGUAAAUAUGGUAAUGACCGCAGCCAGAGGUACUGGAAAAGGGUAAUAUCAGCCAUGUGUGAUUACACAGAAUAGUGGGCUUGAAGCUGGGAAAAAAAGCUUUGGCUGAGACGUGCCACACAUUGGAGGGAAGAGGGAGAACUGCUUGGCCGUUGAGAAAACCUCCGUGAAUUCAAUAGCAGGAUUCAAAACUGUAAGCUGUUAGAAGGUCACCUGGAGACAUCUAACUUUGCGUUUGUCCCUUUUCUUACAAAAGCAUCUCCUCUUCCCACGCGAGCGCCCGUGGCUGUGUGAUGACACACUUGAGGUGUCUGCUUUUGAAAUGAGCCAAAUGCUGACAGUCGCGGAUGUAUAAAUAUUGAACUGAGGGCUUUCAGGGUUGCCAGACGUAC